rnacentral:tRNA from 1 species
UCCCUGGCAGUCUAGUGCUUAAAACCCUGCACUUCUAAUGCAGGGAACAGGGGUUCGAUCCCUGGUCAGGGAA